rnacentral:rRNA from 1 species
GACGAACGCUGGCGGCGCGCCUAACACAUGCAAGUCGAACGAAGAAAGCGAUAGUUUACUAGAGCUUUCUUAGUGGCGGACGGGUGAGUAACACGUGAAGAACCUGCCUUACAGAGGGGGACAACAGUUGGAAACGGCUGCUAAUACCGCAUGAUGCAACGGAAUCGCAUGACUCUGUUACCAAAGAUUUAUCGCUCUGAGAUGGCCUCGCGUCUGAUUAGCUAGUUGGCGGGGUAACGGCCCACCAAGGCGACGAUCAGUAGCCGGACUGAGAGGUUGGCCGGCCACAUUGGGACUGAGACACGGCCCAG